GGACGGGUGGCAGAGAAUGGUGAAAUGCGGCGGACUCUAAAUCCGCUUCGCUUCGGCGAUGUGGGUUCAAAUCCCAUCCCGUCCG
rnacentral:tRNA from 1 species